rnacentral:rRNA from 1 species
GAUGAACGCUAGCGGCAGGCUUAAUACAUGCAAGUCGAGGGGCAGCGGGGUAGCAAUACCUGCCGGCGACCGCAACGGUGCGAACACGUACACAACCUUCCUUUAAGUGGGGGAGUAGCCCAGAGAAAUUUGGAUUAAUACCCCGUAAUAUUGUUGGAUGGCAUCAUUUGACAAUUAAAGCUGAGGCGCUUAGAGAUGGGUGUGCGUCUGAUUAGGUAGUUGGUGUGGGUAACGGCCCACCAAGCCUUCGAUCAGUAACUGGUGUGAGAGCACGACCAGUCACACGGGCACUGAGACACGGGCCCGACUCCUACGGGAGGCAGCAGUAAGGAUAUUGGUCAA